GAACUUAAGCAUAUCAAUAAGCGGAGGAAAAGAAACCAACAGGGAUUGCCUCAGUAACGGCGAGUGAAGCGGCAACAGCUCAAAUUUGAAAUCUGGCCGCAAGGUCCGAGUUGUAAUCUGUAGAGGAUGCUUUUGGCGAGGUGCCUUCCGAGUUCCCUGGAACGGGACGCCAUAGAGGGUGAGAGCCCCGUACGGUAGGACCACCAAGCCUCUGUAAAGCUCCUUCGACGAGUCGAGUAGUUUGGGAAUGCUGCUCUAAAUGGGAGGUGUACGUCUUCUAAAGCUAAAUACCGGCCAGAGACCGAUAGCGCACAAGUAGGGUGAUCGAAAGAUGAAAAGCACUUUGAAAAGAGGGUUAAAAAGUACGUGAAAUUGUUGAAAGGGAAGCAUUCAUGACCAGACUUGGGCUUGGUUGAACAUCCGGCGUUCUCGCCGGUGCACUCUGCCAGUCCAGGCCAGCAUCAGUUUGCCCCGGGGGAUAAAGGCGGCGGGAAUGUGGCUCCCUUCGGGGAGUGUUAUAGCCCGUCGUGUAAUGCCCUGGGGCGGACUGAGGAACGCGCUUCGGCACGGAUGCUGGCGUAAUGGUCAUCAAUGACCCGUCUUGAAACACGGACCAAGGAGUCGUCUUCGUAUGCGAGUGUUCGGGUGUCAAACCCCUACGCGUAAUGAAAGUGAACGUAGGUGAGAGCUUCGGCGCAUCACCGACCGAUCCUGAUGUUCUCGGAUGGAUUUGAGUAAGAGCAUACGGGGCCGGACCCGAAA
rnacentral:rRNA from 1 species